rnacentral:lncRNA from 1 species
AAAAUAUAUGUGUUGAUCAUGAUGCAAAUUCAUUUUAAAGUCUAUGUUUAAUUUUAAUUUGGCUGCAAACUUCAUACAUUAUACUUUAUUAUUUGUGUAAAUGCAUGUGUGUAUGAUUGUAUGAUGUAUGUAUGCUUGUGUGAAUGCAUGGUGUGAGUAUAUAUGUUUUGUUUGUUUGUUAUUGUGUGUGUGUGUGUGACUGUGUGUGUUUGUGUGGGAUGUCUUUGUGUAAGCGGUUGCGUGAUUGUCGGCUAUGGAGCUGUAUAUGUUUGAUGCAUGUUUGUGUGAGUGUUUGUGUGUUUGCAUGCAUAUGCACUUGAAUAAUUCAUGAAUAAUUGUAAAUAUGAAUCUUGUUUGUAUGAAUUUUUGUUUGACCCUGAGGGUCUGGAUGGGAUACUUAUUUCUGUUUUUUUUUAUACCAUCUUUCUUUUUUGGCCCAAUCUUUUAUCUAUUCUGUUUAAUUCAGCACACCGUUAUUCUCUUUUUUAGCCAUUCAGUUUUCUCUUUCCUUUAUGUUUUUGGACUUAUACUUCUGCAUUUUAUUGCUAAUUAAUCUCUAUUCUAUCAACCCCACCAGACCCUUGUGUAAGAUUUGUAUAUUUGAAAUUGUAUGUUGUAUAAAUGGGA